rnacentral:misc_RNA from 1 species
AACAUCGCGCACCUGCGGGAACCUGCGGAGGGAUCAUUAAUGAUUGGUGGCUGUUGCUGACUAGUGUUUCUAGUAUGUGCACGCCACACCUUCAAUCCCACUUACACCUGUGCACCUUCUGUAAUAAAUCUAUGUGGAUACGGAGAUAUGAAAGUUUGCGCUCUCGUACUCUGUUGAAGCAGUCUACUACGUUUUUUUACACACACACAAUAGUCAUUGAAUGUAUUUUUUAUUCUUAUG